AUUGAACGCUGGCGGCAGGCCUAACACAUGCAAGUCGAGCGGAUGAAGGGAGCUUGCUCCUGGAUUCAGCGGCGGACGGGUGAGUAAUGCCUAGGAAUCUGCCUGGUAGUGGGGGAUAACGUCCGGAAACGGGCGCUAAUACCGCAUACGUCCUGAGGGAGAAAGGGGGGGAUCUUCGGACCUCACGCUAUCGGAUGAGCCUAGGUCGGAUUAGCUAGUUGGUGGGGUAAAGGCCUACCAAGGCGACGAUCCGUAACUGGUCUGAGAGGAUGAUCAGUCACACUGGAACUGAGACACGGUCCAGACUCCUACGGGAGGCAGCAGUGGGGAAUAUUGGACAAUGGGCGAAAGCCUGAUCCAGCCAUGCCGCGUGUGUGAAGAAGGUCUUCGGAUUGUAAAGCACUUUAAGUUGGGAGGAAGGGCAGUAAGUUAAUACCUUGCUGUUUUGACGUUACCAACAGAAUAAGCACCGGCUAACUUCGUG
rnacentral:rRNA from 1 species